UACAGAGGGGGCAAGCGUUGUUCGGAUUCACUGGGCGUAAAGGGUGCGCAGGCGGCCAAGUGUGUGAGGCGUGAAAGCCCGGGGCUUAACCCCGGAAUUGCACCUCAAACUACAUGGCUAGAGCAUUGGAGAGGGUAGCGGAAUUCACGGUGUAGCAGUGAAAUGCGUAGAUAUCGUGAGGAACACCAGAGGCGAAGGCGGCUACCUGGACAAUUGCUGACGCUCAGGCACGAAAGCGUGGGGAGCAAAAGGG
rnacentral:rRNA from 1 species